rnacentral:lncRNA from 1 species
AUUGAACUUAUGUUUAUUCUUAUUUUCUUAUUUUUAGGUUUCAAACCAAGCUCAGAAAUUUUUGAGAGGGAUCUCAGUCACCAGCAGCAUCAUCAUCAUUAGUAGCUGUAUUGAUCAAAGCUCUAUCUAUGAAUCUUGGAAAGCCAUGCUUCAUGUGUAGAAAUCUAUGCCACCCUUAGGCAAUGCAACAGAGCCAAGAAUAGCAAGAAGCACAACAAAUAGCAGCUGUGGCUCUUUGCAUGUGUGGUACCAUUUACGCUAAUGCCCAGGAUAGCAUAUCAUUUGUCCAAAAGGUGCAGCUGCACCAGCUGGCAGACUGUUGAAGGCGGCAAAAACACAGAAGGCAGAAACUGGCACCGAUCCUUGCCUCUCCCCAAACCCACUCAAGUUCUUGCAGCACUACUCUGUGCAAUGUUCACAAAGAGUCAUGGCCAGCAUUUGGGCAAAACAUGCAAUAUGACUUGGCUGAAGAGCAGGUGUCAUCAUUUGA